GAUCUUUUAUUAAAGGGAACUAGCCUCCUUGUCCUUCGGGAGAUGAUUUGUUUUCUUUGGUUUUCUCUUCGCGGUGCCUAGGAUGGAUAAACCCUAACCAGAUCUUCGCCGUGCCCGGGCCGGAUGGCUGGCUCCUCCUCCGGCAGCGGCACCGCCCCCCAGCCCCCUCACAAGCCUUCUUUUUCUUCUCUGGUCGGCCCGGUGCGGCCUCCACUGCUCGGCUUCAACAUUGACUAGCUUCCGUUGCUGUUCAUGGAGAAUGGUGUGGUUUCAGUUCGUAUCUCGGAGGCUCCUUUCCUCGGUGGUCUAGAACGCUGCAAGACAAACUUUGUGGGCAAGGUUGCAUUUUGUUAUGCAAGGCGCUUACCAUUUUUUUGGACUCAAAUGUCCCAGCAUAGCUUGCUAUCUUUGCUGCAGUCAUCCUUGUACUUGCUUUUACGAAGGUUCCUCACUAAUUCUUAUCUUUGGGAAGAGGCUCCACCAAUUCAUACCGCUUCCUUGCAUUUUGGUUACCUCCUCCAUGUAUCUAACCUUCUGUAUAGUUCUGUUAGUUGCAACAGUUAAAGACCAAUCCUGAUAGAAGUGCAAAAUGCAGUCAUUGAGGCUGGUCUUGAUAAAUCUAGAGAACCUUUAGUUACACUUAUCGUGCAAAAUGAAACCGUUAGAAAGGGGGACAUAGUAGUGUGUGGAGUAGCCUUUGGAAAGGUUGGUUGAUUACUCCUUGUUUUGAUGUAAUCAUAUGUAAUGUUGACAAAAGAUGAAAAUCCUCAUUUAUAUUAUUUGUCAUUUGGGUUCACAGGUCUUGUCAGCUUCUAGCUUAAGAGCUCUUGGGUCUGAUGGUGAAGUAGAAGGGAUUUGUUAAGUUGUGGCCUUAGACAAUGAUUAAGGUAAUUCUCAGCUUCUCUGCCUGAUAACCUUUUAGAAGCAUUUCUGCACCACUGUGUGUUUCCUGCAAGUAUUCUAUGAAACUACUAAUGUUGUUUUAGUGACUGCCCCAUACUUGAACUUUGAUUAGGAACAAGAAUCACAUACGAGGAUGAUUUAUUGC